UACGAAGGGGGCUAGCGUUGCUCGGAAUUACUGGGCGUAAAGGGCGCGUAGGCGGCACUGUUAGUCAGGCGUGAAAGUCCUGGGCUCAACCUGGGAACUGCGCUUGAUACGGCAGAGCUAGAGGAUGGAAGAGGGUCGCGGAAUUCCCAGUGUAGAGGUGAAAUCGUAGAUAUUGGGAAGAACACCGGUGGCGAAGGCGGCGACCUGGUCCAUUACUGACGCUGAGGCGCGACAGCGUGGGGAGCAAACAGG
rnacentral:rRNA from 1 species